GACGUAGGGCGCGAGCGUUGUCCGGAUUUAUUGGGCGUAAAGAGCUCGUAGGCGGCUUGUCGCGUCGGCCGUGAAAACCUGCAGCUCAACUGCAGGCUUGCGGUCGAUACGGGCAGGCUAGAGUUCGGUAGGGGAGACUGGAAUUCCUGGUGUAGCGGUGAAAUGCGCAGAUAUCAGGAGGAACACCGGUGGCGAAGGCGGGUCUCUGGGCCGAUACUGACGCUGAGGAGCGAAAGCGUGGGGAGCGAACAGG
rnacentral:rRNA from 1 species